rnacentral:rRNA from 1 species
UACGGGGGGGGCAAGCGUUGUUCGGAAUUACUGGGCGUAAAGGGCUCGUAGGCGGCCAACUAAGUCAGACGUGAAAUCCCCAGGCUCAACCUGGGAACUGCGUCUGAUACUGGAUGGCUUGAAUCCGGGAGAGGGAUGCAGAAUUCCAGGUGUAGCGGUGAAAUGCGUAGAUAUCUGGAGGAACACCGAUGGCGAAGGCAGAUCUCUGGGCCGUAACUGACGCUGAGGAGCGAAAGCGUGGGGAGCGAACAGG